CUCCUAGAACUGCUAGAAGAGGAAGUGUUGGAGGACGUUUUGAAUCAAGAAAAAAUCCUAAAAAAAUCUCGAAAAAAUUGAGAAAAAUAAGAAACAAAGCGCUCGCAGAGAAACCGAACGGGCAUAACGCGAAGGAUAAAAAAUGAAAGAAGAACAAGAAAGAGAGGGGUUCCAGAACUAACCUAAGCUGGUCCAAAAGAUGCAGGAAGACAGCAAGGGUGAUGAGGAUCGACCCGAAAAGCACCUAAAAUUGAGAGGGACACACUGGAGGAAGAUGAAGUUCUCGGGGA
rnacentral:lncRNA from 1 species